AUAAAUUCUACGAAGAGAAAAAGUAGAUAAUAAUUUUGUUCAAAAGAGAAUUGGUAUUUUGCUGAAAGCCAAUGUUCAAAAUGUUAUUGAAAAUCAUCUCUGAGAAGUAAAACUGAAACUAGUAUUAGUAAGUUUUACCGGAGUCUUUCACCGUUAAAAGACAAGCAUAUUGUUAGAUAUGUAACUAAGAGCUGUAAAUAGAUUUAUUUAUGUUAAUGUAUUUUACAGAAUUAGGGUGGUAACGCGGUUUAACCCGUCCCUUAU
rfam:Clostridium tetanomorphum DSM 665 contig204, whole genome shotgun sequence.